rnacentral:rRNA from 1 species
CGGGUGAGUAAUGUCUGGGAAACUGCCUGAUGGAGGGGGAUAACUACUGGAGACGGUAGCUAAUACCGCAUAACGUCGCAAGACCAAAGAGGGGGACCUUCGGGCCUCUUGCCAUCGGAUGUGCCCAGAUGGGAUUAGCUAGUAGGUGGGGUAACGGCUCACCUAGGCGACGAUCCCUAGCUGGUCUGAGAGGAUGACCAGCCACACUGGAACUGAGACACGGUCCAG